GCCUUGGUGGUUCAGUGGUAGAAUUCUCACCUUCCAUAUGGGAGAUCUGGUUCCAUUCCUGGCCAAUGCA
rnacentral:tRNA from 1 species